GACGAACGCUGGCGGCGUGCUUAACACAUGCAAGUCGAACGGAAAGGCCCUUCGGGGUACUCGAGUGGCGAACGGGUGAGUAACACGUGGGUGAUCUGCCCUGCACUUUGGGAUAAGCCUGGGAAACUGGGUCUAAUACCGAAUAGGACCACGCGCUUCAUGGUGUGUGGUGGAAAGCUUUUGCGGUGUGGGAUGGGCCCGCGGCCUAUCAGCUUGUUGGUGGGGUAAUGGCCUACCAAGGCGACGACGGGUAGCCGGCCUGAGAGGGUGACCGGCCACACUGGGACUGAGAUACGGCCCAGACUCCUACGGGAGGCAGCAGUGGGGAAUAUUGCACAAUGGGCGCAAGCCUGAUGCAGCGACGCCGCGUGAGGGAUGACGGCCUUCGGGUUGUAAACCUCUUUCAAUAGGGACGAAGCGAAAGUGACGGUACCUAUAGAAGAAGCACCGGCCAACUACGUG
rnacentral:rRNA from 1 species